CAUUUAAUUAUUAAAAGUAUAAAAUUACAUGUUGACAGUUUUAUCAUUACACUAUCAAAAUCAUCAAUUUAUAUGUGUUGCAUUUUAAAUGUGGUUCUAGCAAGAGCUUAAUGUAUAUAUGUACGGUAUAUAGUUAUCAAAACUGCGAUACGAACGAACGAAAUGAAAGUCACAUUACAUUUUCAGCAUAACAACAAGUACAAUCAAACAGGUAACUAAAACGGAACUUGGAAUCGGCAUGUUAUCGGAAUUACCUGGCUCAAUAACUGCAUUGCAAUUGGGCUUAUCACAGCAGGUCGGUUUACAAUCUUUAACAGUUGUGUUAUUCUUUUUCACUAAAGCACAUAUCUUAGAAGAAUCGAAGCAAACCGAGGACCUGUAACAACGUUCGUCAGUCAUCAAUUCGUUACCGACUUUGUAGUUAAUCCUCAUACAUCUAUCUUCUUCAUAACCACAACUCACAAUGUUAGUCUUACAUGUUUCACCUGGAA